GGAAAAGAGAGCCCCUUUUCCAAGAGAAGCUCACAUUUCGCUUGUAGGCAGUCUGGCCCUCCACUGCCUGCACCCCCUCUAAGUCUUGGAAAAGGUGGUUGGAGAGGAGUGCACCCUGUGCAGGGUGAUUGAGAGGACCAGGGUUAGUCCAGGUUUUGCUUACCUGGCAUUCUCUUCCCUAUGCCGGGGCCUGCAGCAAUGAAGUGGCAAGUCUGUGUGUGUGCUGUAGAGUCCAGAAUGCAUAUCAACGGUCACAGAAGGAACUUGUGGGGAGAAAAGACAGUUCAGCUUCCCAUCAUGCUGCUUCAGAGGAAACAGGUGAAGUGAUCUACUUGGCAACGCCCAGAGACUUGUGAUCAGAUGAGGGGUCAAAGCCCCAGGGCUGGCUGCUGACCCUUCCGCAGGUGUGUGUGUGUGUGUGUGUGUGUGAGUGAAUUAGAGGUUUCACUUCUAAAAGUUCUUAUCUUUUUACUCAGAACAUUGUGGAGGGAAAAAACUCUCAGCCCCAGGUGAUUUCUCCAGGGAAAGGCAUCAGAAAUAACGAGUAGGUAUUUGGGGGUUUCCCAGGACAGCAGAAUGGGCUAGGCUGGUCUAGUCUGGGAAAAGAAUUCACUUAAGCCUGUCUUAAUGCUUAGCCCACAGCCAAGAAAGUAUGACAGCCCUGAAGAAGGGAAAAGAGUGCUGCUCAAUGGUGAGAGCCAGCCUAAGAGUAGGAAAUCAAUUCCUUUUGCCUAAAGAGUCAAGGGUCAGCUAGGUAGUGGUGGAGUGGAAAGAAUGUAGAAGUUAGAGUCAGAAAGACCAGAGUUCUAAUACUGCCUCAGUGAGGAGUGAGACCCUGGGCAAGUUACUUAAAGUCUUUCAGUCUCAGUUUCUUCAUCUGUAAAAUGGAGAUGUCAACACUACCUAACUAACUGGGCUGUUUUGAGAAUCAGAUGGGAUAACAUGUAAACCUUAAAGUCCUGUUAGAAACUAGGUAUUAUUGAGAUCGAGUUUUGGGCCUUGAAUUAGCCAGACAGUUAAUUCAUCCUCUGGGACAGGAGGAUGAAGUGUGGAGUCCAUUCCUUGGCUCCCCCUCACUAGUGGAUAACUGUAUGUGGAUAGCUGAGAGUUCAUUGUAGGCAGGGGUCCCCCAGCACCAGGCAGGCAGAUCACAGAGCAGAUGGCCCUAUCCUCAGACCCAAAGUGAGAAAUCUCUCAUGACCUCACCUCCUGCAAUAAAUCCGCCUCCACUUCUCUCUGCUGGGGCUGG
rnacentral:lncRNA from 1 species